AGUGAACGCUGGCGGUAGGCCUAACACAUGCAAGUCGAACGGCAGCACAGUAAGAGCUUGCUCUUACGGGUGGCGAGUGGCGGACGGGUGAGGAAUACAUCGGAAUCUACUUUUUCGUGGGGGAUAACGUAGGGAAACUUACGCUAAUACCGCAUACGACCUACGGGUGAAAGCAGGGGAUCUUCGGACCUUGCGCGAUUGAAUGAGCCGAUGUCGGAUUAGCUAGUUGGCGGGGUAAAGGCCCACCAAGGCGACGAUCCGUAGCUGGUCUGAGAGGAUGAUCAGCCACACUGGAACUGAGACACGGUCCAGACUCCUACGGGAGGCGGCAGUGGGGAAUUUUGGACAAUGGGCGCAAGCCUGAUCCAGCCAUACCGCGUGGGUAAAGAAGGCCUUCGGGUGGUAAAGCCCUUUUGUUGGGAAAGAGAAGCAGCAGGUUAAUACCCCGCUGUUCUGACGGUACCCAACGAAUAAGCACCGGCUAACUUCGUG
rnacentral:rRNA from 1 species